rnacentral:misc_RNA from 1 species
AUAUAUAUAUCAACCCUCCUUGUUUGAGUGGUUUGGAUGUUGGGGGCUUUUGCUGGCCUCUUGAGAGGUUCAGCUCCCCUGAAAUGCAUUAGCAGAACAACCUGUUUAUUCAUUGGCGUGAUAACUAUCUACGCUACUGGAUGUGAGGCAGUUCAGCUUUCUAACAGUCCUUGGGACAAUUUAUCAUUUU